rnacentral:rRNA from 1 species
UACAGAGGGUGCGAGCGUUAAUCGGAAUUACUGGGCGUAAAGCGUGCGUAGACGGUUAUUUAAGUCAGGUGUGAAAGCCCCGGGCUCAACCUGGGAAUUGCAUUUGAGACUGAAUAGCUAGGGUGCGGAAGAGGGAAGCGGAAUUUCCGGUGUAGCGGUGAAAUGCGUAGAUAUCGGAAGGAACAUCAGUGGCGAAAGCGGCUUCCUGGACCAGCACCGACGUUCAGGCACGAAAGCGUGGGGAGCAAACAGG